UACGAAGGGCGCAAGCGUUAAUCGGAAUUACUGGGCGUAAAGCGCGCGUAGGUGGUUCAGUAAGUUGAAGGUGAAAUCCCCGGGCUCAACCUGGGAACUGCCUCCAAAACUGCUGAGCUAGAGUAUGGUAGAGGGUAGUGGAAUUUCCUGUGUAGCGGUGAAAUGCGUAGAUAUAGGAAGGAACACCAGUGGCGAAGGCGACUACCUGGACUAAUACUGACACUGAGGUGCGAAAGCGUGGGGAGCAAACAGG
rnacentral:rRNA from 1 species